rnacentral:tRNA from 1 species
GGGCCGAUAGCUCAGCCGGUAGAGCGGCGGAUUUUUAACCCGCAGGUUCCGAGUUCGAUCCUCGGUCGGCUCA